ACACAGUAUACACACAUAUAUUAUGUAAACAAAACUUUUAUUUUGGAUGUGAUUAAUCGUGAUUAAUCAUUUGACAGCCCUAGAUAAAAUAUAAGUAUAGCUCUUAAUUUCAUGGUCCAUUUCAUUUGGAGUUCAGCAUUUAAAUUAAAAUAUUUUCUCAUUAUAUCAUGCAUCAUAAUAUCUUAAAAACUAAGUUCCCAUACUGUAUAUGUAAGUUAUGGGCUUUACUAAAAUAUUUAUGUGAUAAAAUAUAAGUAUAGCUCUUAAUUUCAUGCAUGGUCCAUUUCAUUUGGAGUUCAGCUUUUUGUAAAAUAUUUGAAAAGUCCAGCUUAAUGAACGUCCUAAUAUGAAUAAUAUAAAAAGCGUGCAAUAAUGGCUGUUUAAGCCUCUGCGCUGUAUGACAUAUUUAUGAGUGAUUUUGAGUCACAGUCAUCUGUCUUGGCACCAGCUGCAAUUCCAGCAUGACCAACUGGAGUCAAAGUCAAUGACAGGCUGGAGUUCAUCUUAUCUUAUAAAGUCAUAAAGCAGAGAGUAGUCUGUCGUUUUAGGAGACACACUGUUCCUGAUACGCUGUACACACAGAAUGAACUUUGAACAGUGUGCCUAUGAUGACAUGACUUAUAAACACACAUUAAUGUGGGAUGGAGGGGAGAGAUAAACCUCAGGCCAUGUAGAUUUAAUUUGGACAGUAGCCCCGAGGAAGCCUGCUGCUCUUCUUCUUUUGUUUGAUUGUAUUACAAAGACUGGAUAAAGAUCUCUCCUGAGUUCACAAGACCAUGACUAUCGGCAGGAGCUCCAAAAAAAACAUGGGCCCUCGUUCUCCUCCUUUCCUGGACAAGGCUAGUGGAUUCUACGGGCGCUUGGAUGAAAUGUGUGGAGACGAUGUACAGAGAGAGACCACAGAAGAGCAGAUAGGAACCAUACAGCGGAGCAGCCAAGACAAAGGGACAGCUCCAAGCUGGAUAGAAGAGGAUGACCAUGUGGUUGAUUUUAACCAGGGUGUGAUGGAUGAUGAUGGGACCACUUUACUGAAGAGAAAGCCCAGCAGACUGAGUCGCCGCUGGAGCAGGAUGAGCUCCAGGAAGACAAAAUAUGACAAAUUUUCCUCAGAGAAACCCCCGGGUAAGGAGACCAACAAACCCACCUCUGUACGUCUAAACCCAGAGGUGCCACCAACCACCCAAACCCUGGAGAGCAGCAGAGAACCAGAACCAACACUGGUCCAUUUCUCUGCGAGGGAGCAUGCUGAAGACCAGAUUCUGAUCUCGGAAAAGAAGGAAGGAGAAGGGGAAAUGAAAAACACAAGAAAAGGGAAGACAGAAGGCAAACAGAAUGGAGAGUCAUUGGAAGUUGUAAAGAGAAACACUCUUAAGAAUUAUCGCAAGGCUGUGGACAGAGCUUUCCGUCAAGGAUGGGAGACUUUCGUUGCCAAUCUGUAUAGUGUGACACUGACACCUAUAUCAUCAACCUCGUCUUCAUCCACACCAUCAGACAAAAGUGAAUUGAACAGGAAUGGUGUUUUAGCAGAGUUCAGAUAACAGGAGAACAGACUGACUUGUAUUUUCAACUUGAUGAGUAAUUCCAAUUAUUCAUUUAAAUGUGCUCAAAUAUUUAAUGCAUUGUUGUUCUUACAUAAAACUGAUAGCCACUGAUACGGUUUUAAACUGAUCAUUAUGUAACUUGACAUGAAAGGUCAAUAUUUGAACUUUUUAUCAGUGUAUACAUUUGUUAUCACAGUGCUAAAGAGGCGUCUACCUGAUCUUUGUUCCCUUUGUGAGGAAACACAAGGCCAUAUGCUAUUAUUAUCUGACAUGGAAAGAUUUUGAUAAUGUUUUUGAGCUGUGAACAGUAGCAGAGUUCAUGUAAUUUGGCAAUGAGCCUGUAUUACAGGUUAUGUACCAAAGGGUUAACUCUUAAAAAUUGGGAGCUCAUGGAUUUAAAAAAAAAAAAAAUGUCAUCAACAGGUAACAUCACUGGCAGUGAAGUGUAUAAAUAACUGAGCCAAGAGAUGAAGUGAAGAUGGCUUUUGUGUUUUUGGGACUUAUUUAUCUUCUAUAACUUGCUUGCUGAACCCAAUUUCCUAAUGUCACGUAGGAGAUUUUUGUUUGUUUUGUUUUAUCUGCAUUGUGAUAUCAAAGCAAAGCUAAUAAUUAAAAGGAAAAGUGAGACAAAAUCAACCUGUGUUGCUUGAUUCUGUUCUACUGUACAAAAGUGUUGUUUCCCAUACAGCAAAAAACAUAUCUUUUGUGACCAAAAUAUAUAAAUGUAUGCCAAAUAUAUGUUGCAAACAGUGAAACUCAAUUAAAUAUAUAUUUGAAAUAGAAAAUAUAUUUAGUUUCAACACUCAUAUACAAAAAUUACAAAAAUAUAUUUCAGAAUGUGACAUGUGAAUGUGUUCUCUAGGAUUGUAAAUAUAUAUAGUGCAA
ensembl:lncRNA